rnacentral:rRNA from 1 species
CCUACGGGCGGCAGCAGUAGGGAAUAUUGCUCAAUGGGGGAAACCCUGAAGCAGCAACGCCGCGUGGAGGAUGAAGGUUUUAGGAUUGUAAACUCCUUUUGUUAGGGAAGAUUAUGACGGUAUCUAACGAAUAAGCACCGGCUAACUCCGUGUCAGCAGGCGCGGUCAUACGGAGGGUGCAAGCGUUACUCGGAAUCACUGGGGGUAAAGGGUGCGUAGGUGGGUUAAUUAGUCAGAUGGGAAAUCCUGUGGUUUAACUACAGAACUGCAUUUGAAACUGGUACUCUGGAGUGUGAGAGAGGUAGGUGGAAUGCUUGGUGUAGGGGUGAAAUGCGUAGAGAUCAAGAAGAAUACUGAUUGCGAAGGCGGCCUGCUGGAACAAUACUGACGCUGAGGCACGAAAGCGUGGGGAGCAAACAGGAUUAGAUACCCGAGUAGUC